rnacentral:tRNA from 1 species
CUUGUUAUAGCUUAAAAAUUUAAAGCUUAGAAUUCUUACUUCUACUAUACUCUUAGAGUUGACAAGG